rnacentral:misc_RNA from 1 species
UCUCCGUUGGUGAACCAGCGGAGGGAUCAUUACCGAGUUUACAACUCCCAAACCCCUAUGUGAACGUUACCACACUGUUGCCUCGGCGGGAAAUUCAUGCCCCGGGCGCGUCGCAGCCCCGGACCAAGGCGCCCGCCGGAGGACCAACCAAAACUCUUUUGUAUGACCCUCGCGGACUUUUAUAAUUCUGAACCAUCUCGGCGCCCCUAGCGGGCGUUUCGAAAAUGAAUCAAAACUUUCAACAACGGAUCUCUUGGUUCUG